rnacentral:tRNA from 1 species
UGGUCUGUGGCUUAAUUGGUUUAUGUGCCGGACUAGCGAUACGGAGUCGUAGGUUCGAAUCCCACCAAAGCAA